AAUAAUAGAUUUGAAAUAUUUAUUAUAUAGAUUUAAAGGGAUAAUCAUGGAAUACAUAAGUUAUUAAUAGUUAUAGGUUACUAAUAAAAUAUAUUAUAUAUAUUUUUAAUACCUAAGGGAAACCUGUAAUAUAAAACUAAGUGAACUGAAACAUCUAAGUAACUUAAGGAAAAUAAAUCAACCGAGAUAUCAUAAGUAUUGGUGAGAGAAAAUGAUAUAGUCAAAAAUUAAUCAAAUGAUUAAUUUAAAUAAGUAUUAUGUAAGAUAAUAUGUAAGAAUAUAGGACAAACUAGUUCUAAGACUAAAUACUAUUAAUAAACAAAAUAAGUACCGCAAGGGAAAGUAUGUAAAUGGUUAUUCUAUAAGCAGUUAUAAAUAUAUAAAUUAUAUUAAUAACGUACCUUUUGUAUAAUGGGUCAGCAAGUAAUUAAUAUUAGCAAAAUAUAUAUAUAUACAUUAAUUUAUAUUAAUGUUAUUAUAUUAUAAAUAAAUUGAAUAUUUAAUAAUUGUAUAAUCUCACCUUUUCUUUAGUAUAUCUGGGAGAGAUGGGAAUUAAGUUAAUAUUAAUUGACCCGAAAGCAAAUGAUCUUAUUAUGACAAGACGGAAAUAUUAUAAAUAAUAAUAAAACGGUCGAACAGGUUGAUGUUGCAAAAUCAUCUGAUUAGUUGUGAUAAGUAGUGAAAGACAAAUCUGAUUUGCAGAUAGCUGGUUUUCCACGAAAUAUAUGUAAGUAUAGCCUCUUUUUCUCCCCUCAGUUUAUCUUGGGGGGAGGUAUAUAAUUAUUAUAUUAUAAUAAAUAUAAUGAACGGUACAGCUACAAAUAUCCUCGUUAUGUAAUACAUAACGGGUUUUGGGGAAUUAUUGUAAUUUUAUCAAAGAUAUUUGAUCUCGAAAUGUUUAAUUAUAUUAUAAGAGAGUCAGACUAUGCGCGAUAAGGUGAAUAGUCUAAAGGGAAACAGCCCAGAUUAAGAUAUAAGGUUCCUAAUUUAAUAAUAAGUGAAAUAAAUAUUAAAAUAUUAUAAUACAAUUAGUUGAUGGGUUUGACAAUAACCAUUCUUUAAUGAACAUGUAACAAUGCACUAAUUUAUAUUUGUUAAUAUUUCAAAUCAAAAAAUAUAUUUAUUUAUUUUUUGUUAAUAGACAAUAUACGGAUCUUAUAUAUAUUAUUAUUAAUAAUAUAUUAAUAAUAAUAAUAAUUAUUAAACCGAAUAUCUAAAUAUUAUUAUAUAUAAUAAAAUAUAAUAAUAUGGUAGUGGAACAUCUAAUGAAAAAAUAUAUUAGUCAUUGAUUAAUAUAAUAUAUAUAUUUAUAUAUAUAUAUAAAUAAUUAGAUAGAGAAUGCUGACAUGAGUAACGUAAAAAAGGUAUAAACCUUUUCACCUAAAGCAUAAGGUUUUACUAUAAAAGUACGGCCCUUAAGUUAUAUAAGAAUAUAAAUAUAUAAAUGAUAGGAUAAAUCUAAAUUAAAAACAAAAACUUUAUUAUUAAUAAAAAUUAAUAAACUAAUAAAGUUCAAGAAAUAUUUUUAAUGGAUACCGUAAUGUAUACCGACUCUGGUAUGUUAGUAGAGAAUAUGAAGGUGAAUUAGAUAAUUAAAGGGAAGGAACUCGGCAAAAAUAGCUCUAACGUUAGUCAAUAAAGAGAACCCCCUCUAGAGGGGGUAUUAAGAACAAAGUUGUCCAACUGUUUACUAAAAACACCGCACUUUGCAGAAACGAUAAGUUAAAGUAUAAGGUGUGAACUCUGCUCCAUGCUUAAUAUAUAAAUUAUAUUAUUUAAAGAUAAUAUAAUUAAAGUUAGGUAAAUAGCAGCCUUAUUUUGAGGGUUCUAAGGUAGCGAAAUUCAUUGUCCACUAAUUAUGGUCCUGCAUGAAUGACGUAAUGAUACAACAACUGUCUCCCCUUUAAGCUAAGUGAAAUUGAAAUCGCAGUGAAGAUGCUGUGUACCUAUAGUGUGACGGAAAGACCCUAUGCAGCUUUACUGUAAUUAGAUAGAUCGAAUUAUUAUAUAUCAUAUUCAGAAUAUUAAGUAAUUGUUUAAAUAAAUAUGAGAUACUUAUUAUGAUAUCUAUAAUAAUUCUAAUCCUAUAUAUUUAUUUAAUAGAUAUAUUCUUAAAUUAACCCCCCCCCAAACGAAGUGAGGGAGAGGGAAGAUAGGAGACAAUCUCUAAUUGGUAGUUUUGAUGGGGCGUCAUUUUCAGCAAAAGUAUCUGAAUAAGUCCAUAUACAUAUUAUAAUCUUAUUAUAAUUCUAAAGUAUAUAUUAUAUAUAUUAAUUGUAAAUUAGCCCCCCCGAAGGGGGGGAGUAUUCUUUGGAUACUCCCUCCAUUAUAUUUGGGAGUUGGGAUAUAAUAGAAUAAAUUAUGUACAGUAAAAUUGUCUGGAAAACAAUAAUAAAAUUAAUAAAAAAAAAUAAUUAAUUUAUAAUAUAAUGUAUUAAAUUAAUAUAAUGGUUUAACUGUGCAACAAUUGUAACACAAACAAGUGAAACAAGUACGUAAGUAUGGCAUAAUGAACAAAUAACACUGAUUGUAAUGGUUAUUGAUAACGAAUAAAAGUUACGCUAGGGAUAACAGGGUAAUAUAGCGAAAGAGUAGAUAUUGUAAGCUAUGUUUGCCACCUCGAUGUCGACUCUACCUAUCCUCUUGGUUGUAAGUGCUAAGAAGGGUUUGACUGUUCGUCAAUUAAAAGGUAACGUGAGUUGGGUUAAAUACGAUGUAAAUCAGUAUGGUUCCUAUCUACUAUAGGUAAUAUUAUCAACUUAAGUCUCAUUCUUAGUACGCAAGGAUCAGAAUGAAUUAACCUAUGGUGCAUCUAUUGAUUAUUAUAUAAUAUAUUUUUCCCCGAAAAAUAUAUUAUCUAUAUUAGUUUAUAUUUUAAUAAUAGUCAUAGUAGAUAAGCUAAGUUAAUAAAGAAUAAGUAUUGAAUGCAUAUCAAAUACGAAGUUGUCUUAAUAUGAGAUAAUUAACUGAUUAUUUUAUACUAAAAUAUAUAUAGGUUUUAUUUUUAUUUAUAUACCUCUUAUUAAGGUCCCCGCUCCGCGGGGACCCUUGUAAAAGGAAAGAAAUGUAAAAUACUAAUUUAUCAGUCAUCUAUAUAAUAUCUAAUCUAUUAUU
rnacentral:rRNA from 1 species